rnacentral:rRNA from 1 species
UACGGAGGAUGCAAGCGUUAUCCGGAAUGAUUGGGCGUAAAGCGUCCGCAGGUGGCAGUUCAAGUCUGCUGUCAAAGACCGGGGCUCAACCUCGGAAAGGCAGUGGAAACUGAACAGCUAGAGUAUGGUAGGGGCAAAGGGAAUUCCUGGUGUAGCGGUGAAAUGCGUAGAGAUCAGGAAGAACAUCGGUGGCGAAGGCGCUUUGCUGGACCAUAACUGACACUCAGGGACGAAAGCUAGGGGAGCGAAUGGG